UCCCUCCCGAUGCUUACCACAGGCAGUGCUGUCCCUCCCGCUGCCUGUACAGAAAGCGGAGGCAGAGAAACGUCUCCGAAUACACCACAGCGGGGCCGCCCGUGGCCGUGCUGUUUUGUUACCGGCGAGACAGUU